UACAGAGGUCUCAAGCGUUGUUCGGAUUCAUUGGGCGUAAAGGGUGCGUAGGUGGCGCGGUAAGUCGGGUGUGAAAUCUCGGAGCUUAACUCCGAAAUUGCAUUCGAUACUGCCGUGCUCGAGGACUGGAGAGGAGACUGGAAUUCAUGGUGUAGCAGUGAAAUGCGUAGAGAUCAUGAGGAAGACCAGUGGCGAAGGCGGGUCUCUGGACAGUUCCUGACACUGAAGCACGAAGGCCAGGGGAGCAAACGGG
rnacentral:rRNA from 1 species